UACGGGGGGGGCAAGCGUUGUUCGGAAUUACUGGGCGUAAAGGGCUCGUAGGUGGCCAACUAAGUCAGACGUGAAAUCCCUCAGCUUAACUGGGGAACUGCGUCUGAUACUGGAUGGCUUGAAUUCGGGAGAGGGAUGCAGAAUUCCAGGUGUAGCGGUGAAAUGCGUAGAUAUCUGGAGGAAUACCGGUGGCGAAGGCGGCAUCCUGGACCGAGAUUGACACUGAUGAGCGAAAGCUAGGGGAGCAAACGGG
rnacentral:rRNA from 1 species